rfam:Schistosoma curassoni strain Dakar, Senegal genome assembly, scaffold: SCTD_scaffold0000777
AUGCAGAUAACGAGUCCCAAGCAGGAUGAAACACGCGUCCUGUAU